rnacentral:rRNA from 1 species
GACGAACGCUGGCGGCGUGCUUAACCCAUGCACGUCGAACGUAAAGGCCCUGCUUUUGUGGGGUGCUCGAGUGGCGAACGGGUGAGUAACACGUGAGUAACCUGCCCUUGACUUUGGGAUAACUUCAGGAAACUGCGGCUCAUACCGGAUAGGCGCUCCUGCUGCAUGGUGGGGGUUGGAAAGUUUCGGCGGUUGGGGAUGGACUCGCGGGUUAUCAGCUUGUUGGUGGGGUAGUGGCUUACCAAGGCUUUGACGGGUAGCCGGCCUGAGAGGGUGACCGGCCACAUUGGGACUGCGAUACGGCCCAGACUCCUACGGGAGGCAGCAGUGGGGAAUAUUGCGCAAUGGGCGGAAGCCUGAUGCAGCAACGCCGCGUGCGGGAUGACGGGCUGCGGGAUGUAAACCGCUUUGGCCUGUGACGAAGCGAGAGUGACGGUAAUUGAUAAAGAAGCACCGGCUAACUACGUG